rnacentral:rRNA from 1 species
AACAAACGCUGGCGGCGUGCCUAAUACAUGCAAGUCGAACGAGGAAGUACCUUCGGGUAUUGUACUAGUGGCGCACGGGUGAGUAACGCGUGGAUAAUCUUCCUUAAAGUGGGGAAUAACUAGCCGAAAGAUUAGCUAAUACCGCAUAAGACCACAGGCUCUUUGGAGCUAGGGGUUAAAGUCUUACGACGCUUUAAGAUGAGUCUGCGCCCGAUUAGCUAGUUGGUGAGGUAAAGGCUCACCAAGGCGACGAUCGGUAGCUGGUCUGAGAGGACGGCCAGCCACACUGGGACUGAGACACGGCCCAGACUCCUACGGGAGGCAGCAGUAGGGAAUAUUGCACAAUGGAGAAACUCUGAUGCAGCGACGCCGCGUGAGUGACGAAGGCC